GACGAACGCUGGCGGCGUGCCUAAUACAUGCAAGUAGAACGCUGAAGAGAGGAGCUUGCUCUUCUUGGAUGAGUUGCGAACGGGUGAGUAACGCGUAGGUAACCUGCCUGGUAGCGGGGGAUAACUAUUGGAAACGAUAGCUAAUACCGCAUAAAAUUGAUUAUUGCAUGAUAAUUAAUUGAAAGAUGCAACUGCAUCACUACCAGAUGGACCUGCGUUGUAUUAGCUAGUUGGUGAGGUAACGGCUCACCAAGGCGACGAUACAUAGCCGACCUGAGAGGGUGAUCGGCCACACUGGGACUGAGACACGGCCCAGACUCCUACGGGUGGCAGCAGUAGGGAAUCUUCGGCAAUGGGGGGAACCCUGACCGAGCAACGCCGCGUGAGUGAAGAAGGUUUUCGGAUCGUAAAGCUCUGUUGUAAGAGAAGAACGGGUGUGAGAGUGGAAAGUUCACAUUGUGACGGUAUCUUACCAGAAAGGGACGGCUAACUACGU
rnacentral:rRNA from 1 species